AAGUCGUAACAAGGUUUCCGUAGGUGAACCUGCGGAAGGAUCAUUAUUGAAUAAUCUUGAUGGAUUGUUGCUGGCUCUUUCAAGGGAGCAAGUGCACGUCUGUCAUUUUUAUCUUUCCACCAUGUGCACUAUGCAUAGACUUGACCUUUCUGUGAUCAAACUUUGUAUUGGUUUUUGGAGAUUGCUGUUUGUGAUAACAGCUUUUUCUGUGUUCAAGUUCUAUGAAUUUAUAUACACUCCUAUGCAUGUCAAAGAAUGUUAUAAAGGGUUUUUAAAAGCCUAUAAAGUUAAAUACAACUUUCAGCAACGGAUCUCUUGGCUCUC
rnacentral:misc_RNA from 1 species